UGAAUGAGCGAAUUAUCUAUGGUUGUCGUCGUCGUGUACCACACUAACAAGCAUCAGUGCCCAACAGUAUACUGUCUGUGAGUGAAUGUGUGGCGGCAGUGGCGCCCGAUUGCGAACGAUAAUUAUUAUGUAACCGAUUGUGGCGACGAUGGGGAUGUCGGUAGUAUUGUGACUGGUAAGUAGGAAAAUAAGAGACUAAA
ensembl:ncRNA F42H10.15 ncRNA